AUUCAUCUGAUGAGUCCCAAAUAGGACGAAACGUGAGUCCUGGAU
rnacentral:hammerhead_ribozyme from 1 species